rnacentral:tRNA from 5 species
GCACCCAUAGCUCAACCGGAUAGAGCACCCGCCUUCUAAGCGGGAUGUUGCAGGUUCGAGUCCUGCUGGGUGCGCCA